rnacentral:rRNA from 1 species
AGCAGUAGCCGCGGUAAUACGUAGGUGGCAAGCGUUGUCCGGAAUUAUUGGGCGUAAAGGGCUCGCAGGCGGUUUCUUAAGUCUGAUGUGAAAGCCCCCGGCUCAACCGGGGAGGGUCAUUGGAAACUGGGAAACUUGAGUGCAGAAGAGGAGAGUGGAAUUCCACGUGUAGCGGUGAAAUGCGUAGAGAUGUGGAGGAACACCAGUGGCGAAGGCGACUCUCUGGUCUGUAACUGACGCUGAGGAGCAAAAGCGUGGGGAGCGAACAGGAUUAGAUACCCCAGUAGUCCCUGUCUCUUAUAC